rnacentral:rRNA from 1 species
CCUGCCCUUUAGACGGGGACAACAUUCCGAAAGGGAUGCUAAUACCGGAUGUGACGCUCCUAUCGCAUGACGGGAGCGUGAAAGAUGGCCUCUACAUGUAAGCUAUCGCUAAAGGAUGGGCCUGCGUCUGAUUAGCUAGUUGGUAGUGUAACGGACAACCAAGGCGAUGAUCAGUAGCCGGUCUGAGAGGGUGACCGGCCACAUUGGGACUGAGACACGGCCCAA